UACGAAGGGGGCUAGCGUUGCUCGGAAUGACUGGGCGUAAAGGGCGCGUAGGCGGCCUGGCAAGUGGAAGGUGAAAUCCCUCGGCUUAACCGAGGAACUGCCUCCCAAACUGCUUGGCUCGAGACCGGGAGAGGUGAGUGGAAUUCCCAGUGUAGCGGUGAAAUGCGUAGAUAUUGGGAGGAACACCAGUGGCGAAAGCGGCUUCCUGGUCCAGCACCGACGUUCAGGCACGAAAGCGUGGGGAGCAAACAGG
rnacentral:rRNA from 1 species